AGAGUUUGAUCAUGGCUCAGGAUGAACGCUAGCUACAGGCUUAACACAUGCAAGUCGAGGGGCAGCAUGGUCUUAGCUUGCUAAGACCGAUGGCGACCGGCGCACGGGUGAGUAACGCGUAUCCAACCUGCCUUACACUCUUGGACAGCCUUCUGAGAGGGAGAUUAAUACAAGAUGUUAUCAUGAGUAAGCAUUUUCACAUGAUUAAAGGUUACCGGUGUAAGAUGGGGAUGCGUUCCAUUAGAUAGUAGGCGGGGUAACGGCCACCUAGUCUUCGAUGGAUAGGGGUUCUGAGAGGAAGGUCCCCCANAUUGGAACUGAGACACGGUCCAAACUCCUACGGGAGGCA
rnacentral:rRNA from 1 species